rnacentral:misc_RNA from 1 species
GGAAGUAAAAAUCGUAACAAGGUCUCCGUUGGUGAACCAGCGGAGGGAUCAUUACAGGACUCGCAAGACUCCUACAACCCUGUGAACUUAACUAUAAGCACGUUGCUUCGGCGGGUGUCUCGGAGGGGGUUCUCCCUCCCCGAGACGCUAAACCCGCCGGCAGCCUACUAUACUCUGUCUCUUUGCGUUGGCAUCUCGAGUACAAUCAAACAAGUUAAAACUUUCAACAACGGAUCUCUUGGUUCUG